GUGCUCACUUCGGCAGCACAUGCACUAAAAUUGGAACCAUACAGAGAAGAUUAGCAGGAAGCCUGCGCAAGGAUUACACGCAAAUCUGUAAGCACAACUGUUCU
ensembl:snRNA U6 U6 spliceosomal RNA